UACAGAGGUCCCAAGCGUUGUUCGGAUUCACUGGGCGUAAAGGGUGCGUAGGUGGUCAGGUAAGUCUGAUGUGAAAUCUCUGGGCUCAACCCAGAAACUGCAUUGGAUACUAUCUGGCUAGAGGAGUGGAGGGGGGACUGGAAUACUUGGUGUAGCAGUGAAAUGCGUAGAUAUCAAGUGGAACACCAGUGGCGAAGGCGAGUCCCUGGACACUUCCUGACACUGAGGCACGAAAGCUAGGGGGAGCAAACAGG
rnacentral:rRNA from 1 species